rnacentral:rRNA from 1 species
UACGAAGGGGGCUAGCGUUGCUCGGAAUCACUGGGCGUAAAGGGUGCGUAGGCGGGUUCUUAAGUCAGAGGUGAAAUCCUGGAGCUCAACUCCAGAACUGCCUUUGAUACUGAAGAUCUUGAGUCCGGGAGAGGUGAGUGGAACUGCGAGUGUAGAGGUGAAAUUCGUAGAUAUUCGCAAGAACACCAGUGGCGAAGGCGGCUCACUGGCCCGGUACUGACGCUGAGGCACGAAAGCGUGGGGAGCAAACAGG